AGCGAACGCUGGCGGCAGGCUUAACACAUGCAAGUCGAGCGGGCACUUCGGUGUCAGCGGCAGACGGGUGAGUAACACGUGGGAACGUACCCUUUGGUUCGGAAUAACGCUGGGAAACUAGCGCUAAUACCGGAUACGCCCUUUUGGGGAAAGGCUUGCUGCCGAAGGAUCGGCCCGCGUCUGAUUAGCUAGUUGGUGGGGUAAUGGCCUACCAAGGCGACGAUCAGUAGCUGGUCUGAGAGGAUGAUCAGCCACACUGGGACUGAGACACGGCCCAGACUCCUACGGGAGGCAGCAGUGGGGAAUAUUGGACAAUGGGCGCAAGCCUGAUCCAGCCAUGCCGGGUGAGUGAUGAAGGCCUUAAGGUUGGAAAGCUCUUUUGUCCGGGACGAUAAUGACGGUACCGGAAGAAUAAGCCCCGGCUAACUUCGUG
rnacentral:rRNA from 1 species